UACGUAGGGUGCGAGCGUUGUCCGGAAUUAUUGGGCGUAAAGGGCUCGUAGGCGGUUUGUCGCGUCGGGAGUGAAAACACCGGGCUUAACUCGGUGCUUGCUUUCGAUACGGGCAGACUAGAGGUAUGCAGGGGAGAAUGGAAUUCCUGGUGUAGCGGUGAAAUGCGCAGAUAUCAGGAGGAACACCGGUGGCGAAGGCGGUUCUCUGGGCAUUACCUGACGCUGAGGAGCGAAAGUGUGGGGAGCGAACAGG
rnacentral:rRNA from 1 species